UACCGAGGGUGCGAGCGUUAAUCGGAAUUACUGGGCGUAAAGCGUGCGUAGACGGUUAUUUACGUCGGAUGUGAAAGCCCCGGGCUCAACCUGGGAAUUGCAUUCGAGACUGGAUAGCUAGGGUACGGUAGAGGGAAGCGGAAUUUCCGGUGUAGCGGUGAAAUGCGUAGAUAUCGGAAGGAACAUCAGUGGCGAAAGCGGCUUCCUGGACCAGUACCGACGUUCAGGCACGAAAGCGUGGGGAGCAAACAGG
rnacentral:rRNA from 1 species